rnacentral:rRNA from 1 species
AUUGAACGCUGGCGGCAGGCUUAACACAUGCAAGUCGAACGGUAACAGGAAGAAAGCUUGCUUUCUUUGCUGACGAGCGGCGGACGGGUGAGUAAUGCUUGGGAAUCUGGCUUAUGGAGGGGGAUAACUACGGGAAACUGUAGCUAAUACCGCGUAGUAUCGGAAGAUGAAAGUGUGGGACCGCAAGGCCACAUGCCAUGAGAUGAGCCCAAGUGGGAUUAGGUAGUUGGUUAGGUAAAGGCUGACCAAGCCGACGAUCUCUAGCUGGUCUGAGAGGAUGACCAGCCACACUGGAACUGAGACACGGUCCAGACUCCUACGGGAGGCAGCAGUGGGGAAUAUUGCACAAUGGGGGGAACCCUGAUGCAGCCAUGCCGCGUGAAUGAAGAAGGCCUUCGGGUUGUAAAGUUCUUUCGGUGAUGAGGAAGGUGUUUGUUUUAAUAGGACAAGCAAUUGACGUUAGUCACAGAAGAAGCACCGGCUAACUCCGUGCCAGCAGCCGCGGUAAUACGGAGGGUGCGAGCGUUAAUCGGAAUAACUGGGCGUAAAGGGCACGCAGGCGGUGACUUAAGUGAGAUGUGAAAGCCCCGAGCUUAACUUGGGAAUUGCAUUUCAUACUGGGUCG